AAGUGUUACAGCUCUUUUAGAAUUUGUCUAGCCGGCUUUCGGGUCUAUGCUGGAAGGUCCCA
rnacentral:snRNA from 1 species